rnacentral:rRNA from 1 species
GACAGAGGGUGCAAACGUUGUUCGGAAUUACUGGGCGUAAAGCGCGUGUAGGCUGCUCGGAAAGUCGGAUGUGAAAGCCCUGGGCUUAACCUAGGAAGUGCAUUCGAAACUUCCGAGCUGGAGUUCUGGAGAGGAAGGCGGAAUUCUCGGUGUAGAGGUGAAAUUCGUAGAUAUCGAGAGGAACACCGGUGGCGAAGGCGGCCGUCUGGACAGUGACUGACGCUGAGACGCGAAAGCGUGGGGAGCAAACAGG